CACGUAGGGGGCAAGCGUUGUCCGGAUUUAUUGGGCGUAAAGAGCUCGUAGGCGGUUCGGUAAGUCGGGUGUGAAACCUCCAGGCUCAACCUGGAGACGCCACCCGAUACUGCUGUGACUAGAGUCCGGUAGGGGAGCGUGGAAUUCCUGGUGUAGCGGUGAAAUGCGCAGACAUCAGGAGGAACACCAGCGGCGAAGGCGGCCUUCUGGGUCGACCCUGACGCUGAGACGCGAAAGCGUGGGGAGCAAACAGG
rnacentral:rRNA from 1 species